GACGAACGCUGGCGGCGUGCCUAAUACAUGCAAGUAGAACGCACAGUUUAUACCGUAGCUUGCUCCACCAUAGACUGUGAGUUGCGAACGGGUGAGUAACGCGUAGGUAACCUGCCUGGUAGCGGGGGAUAACUAUUGGAAACGAUAGCUAAUACCGCAUAAUAUUAAUUAUUGCAUGAUAAUUAAUUGAAAGGUGCAAUUGCACCACUACCAGAUGGACCUGCGUUGUAUUAGCUAGUAGGUGAGGUAACGGCUCACCUAGGCGACGAUACAUAGCCGACCUGAGAGGGUGGUCGGCCACACUGGGACUGAGACACGGCCCAGACUCCUACGGGAGGCAGCAGUAGGGAAUCUUCGGCAAUGGACGAAAGUCUGACCGAGCAACGCCGCGUGAGUGAAGAAGGUUGUCGGAUCGGAAAGCUCUGUUGUAAGAGAAGAACGGGUGUGAGAGUGGAAAGUUCACACUGUGACGGUAUCUGACCAGAAAGGGACGGCUAACUACGUG
rnacentral:rRNA from 1 species